UACGUAGGGCGCAAGCGUUAUCCGGAAUUAUUGGGCGUAAAGGGCUCGUAGGCGGUUUGUCGCGUCGGGAGUGAAAACACCGAGCUUAACUGGGUGCUUGCUUCCGUUACGGGCAGACUAGAGGAAUGCAGGGGAGAAUGGAAUUCCUGGUGUAGCGGUGAAAUGCGCAGAUAUCAGGAGGAACACCGGUGGCGAAGGCGGUUCUCUGGGCAUUUCCUGACGCUGAGGAGCGAAAGUGUGGGGAGCGAACAGG
rnacentral:misc_RNA from 1 species